UUUUCUUGAUUUUCUUGUAACCCAGUGUUUGAUUUUCUUGAAUCUAAAGUUCUUGAGUUCCUUAUAUUCUUGAUUUCUGUUUGUUUGCUAUGAAAAUUAAAACCCACCAAUUUAACCUUGUAUUGUUUGUCGAGUUACUUUUUGUGUUAAAGAAAUUGGAAAGAUUCAAUUUAACUGAUGAAAUUAUGUAACAGGGGACGCCAGCCAUUUGAGAAGGAGAAGGCCCUAAACUGCAGCAGCAGAGAAGAAGGUUUUACGAGCGGGAUGAAGUCAAGUAAGAUGAAGUGCACAAAUUGGGAUAAAGGAGUCAUAUAAAGGACUCAGUUAGAGGACAUUGAAUGAGGAAGUGCUAGGCGAAACUUUCUCCGAAAAAAUGUCACAGUUUGGACCUGAUUAAUUCUCAACAAAUUUAACUGGGUCGUCGUACAUCUGCAACCUUUCAAACUUCUGGAACUUGCCGUUCUGGUACGCAGCAACGGAGAACAAGGAUUCUUAUAAGAAUUCACUCUCAUUUUGACGCUCAGCUGAGGUUUCAUGCCCAAAACGCAGCAGCCGAGAACAACAAGAUUUGGCGAGGCAAUGUGACCCGGAACGUAAAGUACACGCUACUCAUACGUGUGCAAACAUCGACCGAAAUCAAAAAAACCGAAUCGGGUAGAACAAAAAAUAUAGCUUCGGUUCAAUUAAAAGAAUUUUUUAGUUCGGCUUUGGUUUCUAUUUCUGAAAAACCAAAAAAACGCGGAGGAGGUCUUUCGAUGAGAUCCUGAUGUUGUCACACGAAUUGCUCAAGAAUGUGUGAUCACUCUACUACGACUUUCUGUUCAGCACGCUAGCUUGGCUGAAAGGGCCUUGCCACUGGACUGACUCGGCGUACCAGUAUUGACCUUUUUUGCUUGGCACUCUUCAUCGCUAAACCCUUUAGCCACACCGGUACCUGCCUUCGAUCGAGUUCAGAGACGAAGAUCUUGGUGGCUUGCAAGGAAACACUAGUUAACAAGCGAACUUUCGCUCCAACCUCUCUGAAUCUCUCCUUUUAGUCGAGACUUUUAGUUCCUCUCCCUCUGGUCGAGCUCUAUUCCAUCGACCCUCUCACUUCGUUCGAGCAUUAUCAAGUCCUCAAUAGGAACUUAAUUUCUAUGCUGCCUAAGAUGCGUCUUUACUUUAACAGGAGAAUUCUCUUUCGAGAUAGCAAGAGCAGUGAAGAUAAAAUAGGAAAAAAUGUCGUCUUAGUAGGAGAGAGCCCUCGCUUACCUGCUUAACCCCCUAUUGUAUCCCCUUUCCUUCAGUUACAUCCGUCUAUUGUAAACGGGAAUGAUAUAUGAAAUGAAAGGUUGGAAAGAGAGCUACGGAUGAUUGAACUCCAAUCUCUAUCAAGAGUACCUGCGCUUUAAUUUAAGUAGGUUGGGCUAGGGGCGAAGGGAAGAGGGAGAGUGAAUUUACCCAGUUCAAUCUCACCCGAGGGAGCUGCUGUGCUGCUCAUGACUCUAUCUUAAAAUGCAGCUGGCUGGUAAGAGAGAUCUAGCUAAUGAGACUGAUCACAUAAGCUGGGUCAGUACUUGCUUCCGGGGAACAAGACCCUAGUCCUAAGGCUCUUCCAUUUGGUCUAUGUCAAUUAAAAAAAAAAAAAAUCGGAUAAUGAUUUGGAUUGUUAAUCAUUCCAUUUUCCACUGGAGGGGGGUUUGUUCAAAGGUGUUCAUUUUUAUGUAUAUCAUAUCUACCGCAAGACUUGUGAAAAGAGAUCCGGCCCGGAUAUGGGAUAUGCUUGUGAAAGAAUCGAACGCAUAAGAACGAUAACGAAAUUGGAAUCGUUAAUGAAAAGAGAGAAUAGGAUAAAAAUAAUUAGGGAGUCGAGCGGGCCUUUUUUGGGGAUAGAGGGACUUGAACCCUCACGAUUUCUAAAGUCGACGGAUUUUCCUCUUACUAUAAAUUUCCUUGUUGUCGAUAUUGAUAUCGACAUGUAGAAUGGGACUCUAUCUUUAUUCUCGUCCGAUUAAUCAGUUAUCUAUCAGACUAUGGAGUGAAUGAUGUGAUCAAGUAAUAUUCAGCCCUUUCUUCAACUUGGAAUCAAUUCAAAUCAAAACAAUUCUUUUUAUUUUUUCAUAUAAAGAUACAAAAUAUGGAUUUGACCCCUAUUAAUUAAUCGUCUGAGAUAUUAUUUCAGUACGUAUCCAUAUGUAUUCCAGUAUUCCAUAUGUAUAUUUCCGUAUGUAUUAUGUAUUUAUAGGGUUAUCCUUUACUUUAUCCUUUCUGCAAUUUGGACGGAAGGAUUUUAUUAAUGCAACGCAGUCAACUCCAUUUGUUAGAACAGCUUCCAUUGAGUCUCUGCACCUAUCCUUUUUUAUUCUGUCUUUAUGAUAUGAACCUUUGUUUGUUUUCGGAAAACCGGAUUUGGCUCAGGAUUGCCCAUUUUUAAUUCCAGGGUUUCUCUGAAUUUGAAAGUUAUCACUUAGUAAGUUUCCAUACCAAGGCUCAAUCCAAUUAAGUCCGUA